rnacentral:ncRNA from 1 species
CACUAAACGUAGAUAAGGACUAGUAGUUAAAUGGACUAAUCCAAGAGAGUGUGUGGUAGCUGAGAACACACAUUAGUUAUUUAACGAACUCACCUUAGAGUUUCUAAACUGAACCUAAGUAAGUUUAGACGGUAUUUCCCGUUAUGAAAUUGAGUGCCAGUUGUGAGAGACUGGAAUAUAGGUGGUACCGCGGAAUUUCGUCCUAUAU